GUUGCGUCGAGACAAGACACUCAAGAAGAGGUACGAGAAUCGAAUGCAUCGCCGCGUGCCGACAUCCGAGUUAUUCGAUCAACAAAAAUAAUCGGAAAGUGCAUCCUCGGAGUUUUGGUCGAUCAUCAACUUUCAUUGAAUUGGUUGACUCUCAGUUGGAAAACUACUUCGAAUGCCGCCUAACACAUAUCGCGUUGCAAUGGAAAUCCGCGAAAAUGACUACACUGGUCCCGGACUAAAAAUAUUUAGGUAAACAACGUGGUACCAUAUACUUUGUCAAGAUGACAGAGAAACGACUGUCGUUGGGCAUCAACGUAAGCAUUUUGCUGAUAUUGACGAUAUUUGGCGUGCUUCUGUCUUUGCCUUUGCGAUUGUUGUUCGACACGAAUUACUCCGACCAGAAUCACGGAGAUGAAAGUGAUGUCAGUGACCCGGGCAAGAAAGAAAGAGAACACGCGAUACCGAUAGAUCAUCGAAAAUUAAAGCGCUGUCCGAAUCUGCAGUACGAGGAUCGCUUGAUGUCCGUCUUUAUGAGCGAUUACGACGGAAAUUGCACGUACGUGCAAGACGACGAGAGCUACGAUGACGAAGAUGACGACGAUGAUGACAGCGACUCUGAAGAGGAAGAGGAUAGUAGAGAGGAUGAGGACGAUGAGGAGGAGGAAACAUACAGGUCCAAGAAGAGCAUCGAAGAAAUGAAAGAAAGCGCUGAAGAGAUCUUGAAGUCGCGUCAAAUGAAGUCCGUCACGGUGGCAGGCCACAUACUCGUGACGAUGUUGCUCGUAUCAGUAAUAGCUGCCCUCGUUGAAGUACUGCGAAUACGCUUCGCCAGAGAAAAAGAUUCGUCUAGGGCAGGCACGAUUAUUUCACGGAGAUGCUCCUCCAACGUGGACAUACCCGCCACAAGACGUCCCAUUUCAAGAGAAUUAAUUAGAAGCCAUAAGUCCUUUGACAUACCAGGAGUGCAUCAUUCCGCACUGCGUCUGUUAGGAGCGCGGCCGCCCCCGCUUAUCCGUCGCUCCUCAUUUCCAACACCACAAGCGAAGAAAGCCGCUACUUCGUCUCUUUGCGGUAUACCAAGUAAAGGGCUAACGCGGCGUCAAUCGAUUGAAUCGGAAGAAGAAAUCAAGAUUGCUACUAACACUCUUCAUCAUCGCACCCGUCUAAUUCGACGCCAUUAAAACGACGAGAACAGUAUAUAUCAAACCAUCAAAUGCCUUGUAUCAUCGGUGACAAAAUUAACAGAGUAUACGUCUUCUACUAUACGAUAAGUAUGUCACUUGUCAACAGGUAACAUGCAACGCACAAUCGAUCACAUUCGAUCAUCUUUCUUACGCUUGCGCAACGUCGAAAAAUUUAAGAAACAGAUCUUCCAACGCAUCCCUUACGGCGGCUUCAAUAGUGCUCCAUUUCCGCGACGCUUUUAUAUCACGCUGUUUAUUAAGUUUUGCUUUCUAGCCAAGCAAUCUUUGAAAUAUUUAAGAUUACAUUGAUUAAUAUACAGAAUCAAUUUUCAAGAUCAAAAACUAUCGCAUGAGCUACGGUGGAAAGCUGAAUUACUACAGCAUGCCUGGACUAACAUGUUUCAACAAAGUAAUUUCUAUUUUUUCCAUAUCCAUCGUACAACGCUUUAAGGUCAUUUAAUCAAAUGAAAGUAACUACAAUCAAUCUAACUUAACUUUCAAUAAAUUAUUAUCAAUCUUCUUAUCGCGCAAUAAUAUUUGUUUCUAAUGGACGUUCUAAAAAUGUAUGAGAAAAGCCAAAUGUAUAUUCUUAAAUUCAAUUGCAACUAAAAGGGUGCAGUCUACUUGGCGCUAUACAAAUACUUCGAAGUAUUUGAUUGACCAAAAAUUAAUCUUUCAGAAAAAAGAAUUUCACUAAUCGAUUAAUCAAAAAAUGCUUUGAAGCAUUUAUAGCAUCAAGUAGACUGUAGUCUAAAUUAAUGAUGUAGCAAAACUUUCAUUUGAGAUAAAGAAAAAAUUAUUUUUUUAAAAACACUUCUCUGAUGUGUGUGUGUG